UUCUUUCAGAACAAGAUGCAGGCCUUGAUGCCCUUUCCUCUAUCAUAAGUCGCCAAAAACAAAUGGGGCAGGAAAUUGGGAAUGAAUUGGAUGAACAAAAUGAGAUAAUUGAUGACCUUGCCAACCUGGUGGAGAACACAGAUGAAAAACUUCGCACUGAAACCAGGCGGGUGAACCUGGUGGAUAGAAAGUCAACCUCUUGUGGGAUGAUAAUGGUGAUUUUAUUGCUGCUUGUGGCUAUUGUGGUUGUUGCAGUCUGGCCAACCAACUGAUGGCAAUAAAGAGACCACCAGCCGUGACACCUGCCAGUGACAGAUAAAAGCCCAGCACCCUUUUGGUAUAUAAAACCCACUCUCAAUAAAUCCUGCCAAAGCUCUGAA